rnacentral:rRNA from 1 species
GACGAACGCUGGCGGCGUGCCUAAUACAUGCAAGUAGAACGCUGAAGGAGGAGCUUGCUUCUCUGGAUGAGUUGCGAACGGGUGAGUAACGCGUAGGUAACCUGCCUGGUAGCGGGGGAUAACUAUUGGAAACGAUAGCUAAUACCGCAUAACAGUAGAUAUCGCAUGAUAUCUACUUGAAAGGUGCAAUUGCAUCACUACCAGAUGGACCUGCGUUGUAUUAGCUAGUUGGUGAGGUAACGGCUCACCAAGGCGACGAUACAUAGCCGACCUGAGAGGGGGAUCGGCCACACUGGGACUGAGACACGGCCCAGACUCCUACGGGAGGCAGCAGUAGGGAAUCUUCGGCAAUGGACGGAAGUCUGACCGAGCAACGCCGCGUGAGUGAAGAAGGUUUUCGGAUCGUAAAGCUCUGUUGUAAGAGAAGAACGAGUGUGAGAGUGGAAAGUUCACACUGUGACGGUAUCUUACCAGAAAGGGACGGCUAACUACGUG